ACCUAAUGAUGUGGGCAUUUACGGAGCAGGUCCCUAAAGCGUUCCUAGGUCUCAAAGAAAUGUUCCCCAUUCGUCUGCGUGAAACUUGUGAUUGCCCUUUGUAGCU